rnacentral:rRNA from 1 species
UACAGAGGUCUCAAGCGUUGUUCGGAUUCAUUGGGCGUAAAGGGCGCGUAGGCGGCCUGCUAAGUCGGAUGUGAAAUCCCUCGGCUCAACCGAGGAACUGCAUCCGAUACUGGCAGACUUGAGGGAGGUAGAGGAGAGUGGAAUUCCCGGUGUAGUGGUGAUAUGCGUAGAUAUCGGGAGGAACACCAGUGGCGAAGGCGGCUCUCUGGGCCUUUCCUGACGCUGAGACGCGAAAGCGUGGGGAGCGAACCGG